AUGAAAACUACCCGUAGCAGAAGUAAGUAAACAGCAGCACAUUCAUUUGAUGGAAUUUAUUCAGCCAUUGAAAUUCAUGCUCAGGAAACGUCUGACAGAGAGAAACAUGAGUGAAAAGAGCAGGAUAUAGAGGGCGCAGCCAGAAUGACCCCAACUGUGGGCUGCAGAGAGCGAUGCCUGAGCGGGGCAUCGCAUUUUAUAGCAUUUACGUGCUGUAAAUGGAGAGCUGCAAGGUCUGGGGCUUACGGUGGGCUGGGAGGGGCGGGCGCCGUGGAGUGGAGAGCGAUACUCCCUUUGCGUGCAGGUGGUGGAGGCAUUAAUUCUUGGCCCCGGCUUUGUCCCAAGUAGUGCUCAAGCUGCUGUACCCCAGCCAGUCCUCACAAGUCAUUGCUUGCUGGGCUGUGCUUAAAGCUCCCAGGGGGCACCGGGGCAUUAACAGGUGAUUUGGGUGGGACUUUCGACCCUGCCGUGAUCUUCAUCACUCUUCCCAACCUUCAACCAUUAAAAACAUUCGCAAUUGUAAGAGACUCUAGCAAACACAGGUUCAAAACAAAGACCCUAAUGUGCACCCCACCCCCAAAAUGAAUUGAGAACCCUUAUAAAGAAAGCCUAGUGCUGGAACUCUGGGCAUAACUGGGUCCUUCUGCAGAUUGUGUCUUUUCCAAGGAACCCAGGAAAGCAAUCACAGAGGAGCAGCUCUCACCCUAGAACUGUGGUUCAGCAAAAAAAAAAAAAAAAAGAGGGUGAGGAAAAGACGGGGAGCCAGGAGACCUGCAUUCUGAUGCUAACUCUGUCCUCAACAAGUGAUUUCUUCUCUCUGGGCCUCAGUUUUCGCUUCUGUAAAAUAGGGACGUUCCCAGAACCUAGGUGGGGAGUGGCCUGCGCUUAGGCAGGUGGCGGGGCCCAGCGCAGUGGCCGAUGCAGCAGGGGCCUCUGACGGCUGCCGGGGAAGCCCGCACACUGUGGGCCUCGGCGCCCUCCUCGUUGACCGGAGGGCGGUAGCCACUGUCCCGCAGGAAGUGAGGGUCGCAGCCAGGGCUCGACGGUCCCUGUUACCUAGCCGGAGCAAAGUGCACGGCGGCUGGCAGAAGCCUAACCCAGCUAGAGGCGGAGCGAGCUUCCAAUCCGGCCCCAGGCGGUCACGUGGGCGGUCACGUGACCACACCCGGAAGCGCGGCGCGGACUCCUGGCAGGCUGGUAGGUGUUUGGCUACGACUCGGUACGCACAGUCCGAGGGCCUCGGUAGGCGGCGGGGCCUCCUCCGGGACCCCGGCACGGCCCUCCCGGAAGUAGAGGGGUCCCUACCGCCAGCCUCACCCACCCGGCGUGGGAACGUGGCGGGUCACUUCACUUCUGAGCAGAGAGCAGGGAAGCCACAAAAUAACACCAGUGAGGUUCUCUUUCCAACAGACCUUUUGAAAUAAAAGUAGAACUUAAUGUCAACUAAAGAGGAUUUCCAUGUUAAUGGGAAGACGGCGUUAAGGUCAGUCAUGCCAGUGACGUAGUAGUGAAGUCUCAUGUUGCACAAGAUGCUGAGCCCUUAACAGCCCUUUCUUGCCUUCUGUUUGCUUGCAAUGUUUGGCUUCCUGAUUAAGCUAAAGCUUUAUAUUGUUCCUGCUUUUUAUCAUCGAAAUAUGAGUGGUUCUGGAACUAGUUUAGUUCACCCUGUUUUUGAGGAGGGGAGCUGGGAAAUAAGAAUAGUGACACCCCCACCUCACCUCUCUGUGUAAGAAGAGCUUUCCAGGUGGCCCAGUGGUUAAGACCCUGCCUGCCAGUGCAGGAGACACAGGAGAUGUGGGUUCAGUCCCUGGGUGGGAAAGAUCCCUCGGAGAAGGAAAUGGCAAUCCAUUCCAGUAUUCCUUCAUGGGAAAUAGCAUGGACAGAGGAGCCUGGUGGGCUACAGUCCAUAGGGUUGCAAAGUGUAGGACGUGAUUGAGCACACACUUCUGUAAGAAAGUAGUUUGCUAAGGAUGUGACUGCCUGGUUGCUCCCUGACUCACUAGAACCCUGGAGGGAGAUGGAGCCAGAGGUUGAGCCCAGAGAGGUGUAAGUGCCUUGGCAAAGCCAGAACUAGAACCAGGUCUCCCGUGCCUGUUGCGUUGGUUUACUGCCAUUCACUGCAUCAUCCUGGGGUAUCUCCUGUCUUCCAGGACUGCAUCUCUGUCUCCCUGGGAUGUGCUGUGCUAUUGCCUAAUAUUAGUCACUCAUAGCAGGCUGCCUGGGGGUGCUCAGGGUAGGCUUGCUGACCACACCAUGGUUCAGAGUGACCCACAGGGAAGUGAGAGUGCUCAGGAGGAAACAGUAGGUGAGAAUUACCGUUUGUGGCCACCGGCUACGUCCAAAGGACUGUGCCUGCUGGGUCCAUGUUCUCCAUUGUGGGAAGGCAGGGGUGAGCAGUAUGUGGAGCACAGGGACGCCUGGCAG
ensembl:lncRNA